UCCCGAUUAGCUCAGUCGGUAGAGCGUCAGACUUUUAACACAAAGUCUUCGAGCAUUAGCUCGAAACGAGUCAUUAUCUGAAUGUCAGGGGUUCGAGCCCCCUAUUGGGAG